AAACCAACAGGGAUUGCCUUAGUAACGGCGAGUGAAGCGGCAAAAGCUCAAAUUUGAAAGCUAGCACCUUCGGUGUUCGCGUUGUAAUUUGAAGAUAGUUUCCUUGAGUAGUCCUUUAUCUAUGUUCCUUGGAACAGGACGUCAUAGAGGGUGAGAACCCCGUAUGAUUUUGGAUACUACUCUUUGUGGGAUUCUAUUGAAGAGUCGAGUUGUUUGGGAAUGCAGCUCUAAGUGGGUGGUAAAUUCCAUCUAAAGCUAAAUAUUGGCGAGAGACCGAUAGCGAACAAGUACAGUGAUGGAAAGAUGAAAAGAACUCUGAAGAGAGAGUGAAAAAGUACGUGAAAUUGCUGAAAGGGAAGGGCUUGAGGUCAGACUUGGUGUUUAAUGAUUAUCAGUUCUUCUUGGACUGUGCACUCGUUUUUCACCGGGCCAAUAUCAGUUUUAGCGGUAGAGUACCCCUUGAAAUGUGGCUUCCUUCGGGGAGUGUUAUAGUCUUGGGGAGAUCUACUUGCUGGGACUGAGGACUGCGCUUCGGCAAGGAUAUUGGCGUAAUGACCUUAAGCCGC
rnacentral:rRNA from 1 species